rnacentral:rRNA from 1 species
UUAAAACCCAAAGGAAUUGACGGGGACCCGCACAAGCGGUGGAUGAUGUGGAUUAAUUCGAUGCAACGCGAAAAACCUUACCUACCCUUGACAUGCCAGGAACUUUCCAGAGAUGGAUUGGUGCCCGAAAGGGAGCCUGGACACAGGUGCUGCAUGGCUGUCGUCAGCUCGUGUCGUGAGAUGUUGGGUUAAGUCCCGCAACGAGCGCAACCCUUGUCAUUAAUUGCCAUCAUUCAGUUGGGCACUUUAAUGAGACUGCCGGUGACAAACCGGAGGAAGGUGGGGAUGACGUCAAGUCCUCAUGGCCCUUAUGGGUAGGGCUUCACACGUCAUACAAUGGUCGGUACAGAGGGUUGCCAAGCCGCGAGGUGGAGCCAAUCCCAGAAAGCCGAUCGUAGUCCGGAUCGCAGUCUGCAACUCGACUGCGUGAAGUCGGAAUCGCUAGUAAUCGCGGAUCAGCAUGUCGCGGUGAAUACGUUCCCGGGUCUUGUACACACCGCCCGUCACACCAUGGGAGUGGGUUCUACCAGAAGUAGUUAGCCUAACCGUAAGGAGGGCGAUUACCACGGUAGGAUUCAUGACUGGGGUGAAGUCGUAACAAGGUAACC